rnacentral:lncRNA from 10 species
UUCCAGGAUUUACAAUAUCAAAUACCAAAGCUACAUAUAAAGCUACAAUAAUCAAGGCAGAGAGAAUUAGUGGAAAGAUAGACAAAUAGAUCAGUAAAACAAAAUAGAAAGUUCAAGGUGGGCAGAUUGCUUGAGCUCAGAAGUUCAAGACUAGCCUGGGCAAUAUGGUGAAACCCCAUCUCUACAAAAACAAACAAACAAAACAACAACAAAAACCCUAGACGCAGACACACAAAUAGAAAGUUCAGAAACAGACGCACACAUAUACAUAUGCCAAAGUCAUGUUGCAAUGCAGAGGAGACAGGAUGAUCUUUUCAAUAAAUGCUCCUGGAUUAAUUGGAUAUCCAUAGGGAAAAAAAUGAAUCUUCAUCCAUAUCACACAAAAUAAUGAAUCCCAGAUAGAUUUUAGAUUGAAAUGAAAGAAGCAAAAUAAUAAAGCUUCUAGAACAAAACAUAUAAUAUCUUCAUACCUUUGGAGUAAGCAAAUAUUUAUUUUUUUUAUUUUUUCUUUUUUUACUUUUAAUGUGAAGUCCAAAGCAAUUUUUUUUUUUUUUUUUGAGAUGGCGUCUUGUUCUGUCACCCAGGCUGGAGUGCAGUGGCAUGAACAUGGCUCACUGCAGCCUCAACCUCCCAGUCUCAAGUGAUCCUCCCACAUCAGCCUCUGGAGUAGCUGGGACUACAUGCACCUGCCACCACACCCAGCUGAUUUUUUUAAAAAAGUUUUUACAGAGACGGGGGCUCCCUAUGUCGCCCAGGCUUGCAAAUAUUUCUUAAACAGAACUCUGCUCCAAACUUAAAGGAAACUUUUCAUAAAUUGGACUAUGUUAAUUUUUUUUUCUUUUUUUUUUUUUUUUGAGACGUAGUCUUGCUCUGUCGACCAGGCUAGAGUGCAGUGGCAUGAUCUCGGCUCACUGCAAACUCUGCCUCCUGGGUUCAGGUGAUUCCCCUUCCUCAGCCUCCUGAGUAGCUGGGAUUACAGGCGUGAGCCACCGCACCUGGCCAAAAUUUUCAAAUUCAGAAGAAAUCACUAAGACAGUGAAUAAUGAGAAAGGGUAUUUGAAAUACAUAUGUCCAGAAAAGGGCUCACAUAGAGGAAAGAAUAAGAUGGACAACCUUAUAGUAAAGUAAGAAGAGGCUGAACAGAUGCUUCACAGAAGAGGAGCUAUCCAAAUGCCCAUUAAAUAUUAUGAAAAGGUGCUCAAUCAGGGUUGUUUUUCAUUUCAUUUAAUUUUUCCAGAGAGCUUGUUGGCAAACGUUUACCAGAGCAUUCUUGAGUGAGGUCUAUGCUAUUCUUUGUGGUAUUAUUUGUAACAGCAAAAUACUGGAAACAAACCAGAUUUCUAUCACUUGUGAACUUGUUAAAUAAACUAUGGAUACACCCACACAGUGUAGUAUUCUGCAGCAGUGCAAAGGAAUCAGGAAGAUUUCUUUAUAAUAAACCUACACAGAGAAAUAUUAAGUAGAAAAAGAAUGAGGAAGAUUUCAGUAUUAUGAUAUUGAGUAAGCACAAGAAUAUAUUCUUCAAUGAAAAAAGGAGGCACAGAACAGGGCUUGUAAGCUGCCAUUUUGUGUACAAGGGAGGGGAAUAUGAAUAUAACUGUGUGUUUAUAUUUUCUAAAAAGAGGCAACUGAAGAAUAAACCAAACACUAAUAGAUAAUUAGUCGCUACCUACAGUGGGAGAGAGGGUAGUAGAAGAAGAGAGUCGUUGGAUAUUAAUGUGAGAAUUCUCUGAUUGUGCCAGUUUCUUGUUUGUCUGUUUUAUUUUUUUGAAAUACAGAUGGGGUCUUGCUAUGUUAACCAGGCUGGUCUCAAACUCCCGGGCUCAAGUGAUACUCUCUCCUCAGCCUCCCAAAUUGCUGGAAUUACAGAUGUGAGCCAACAUGCCUGGCCUGAUUAUAUUGUUUUAUAGUUUUGAGUGAACUAUGUAAAUGUUUUAAAUAAUUUAAAAAUUAUGAAAUUCUUAAAAACCAGUUUC